rnacentral:rRNA from 1 species
GAUGAACGCUAGCUACAGGCUUAACACAUGCAAGUCGAGGGGCAGCGGGAUUGAAGCUUGCUUCAAUUGCCGGCGACCGGCGCACGGGUGAGUAACGCGUAUCCAACCUUCCGCUUACUCGGGGAUAGCCUUUCGAAAGAAAGAUUAAUACCCGAUGGUAUCUUAAGCACGCAUGAGAUUAAGAUUAAAGAUUUAUCGGUAAGCGAUGGGGAUGCGUUCCAUUAGGCAGUUGGCGGGGUAACGGCCCACCAAACCUACGAUGGAUAGGGGUUCUGAGAGGAAGGUCCCCCACAUUGGAACUGAGACACGGUCCAAACUCCUACGGGAGGCAGCAGUGAGGAAUAUUGGUCAAUGGGCGAGAGCCUGAACCAGCCAAGUAGCGUGAAGGAUGACGGCCCUACGGGUUGUAAACUUCUUUUGUGCGGGAAUAAAGGAGCCUACGUGUAGGCUUUUGCAUGUACCGUAACGAAUAAGCAUCGGCUAACUCCGUGCCAGCAGCCGCAGUAAUACGGAGGAUGCGAGCGUUAUCCGGAUUUAUUGGGUUUAAAGGGAGCGUAGACGGGUUUUUAAGUCAGCUGUGAAAGUUUGGGGCUCAACCUUAAAAUUGCAGUUGAAACUGGAGACCUUGAGUACGGUUGAGGCAGGCGGAAUUCGUGGUGUAGCGGUGAAAUGCUUAGAUAUCACGAAGAACCCCGAUUGCGAAGGCAGCCUGCUAAGCCGCCACUGACGUUGAGGCUCGAAAGUGCGGGUAUCAAACAGG